CUCAGGUUCCCAUCUGCUGAGAGACACUAAUGAAGUCAUCUUAAUCAGGAUGCAGGUUUGCAACACCCGGCUGCAGCGUUGGAAACAAGUUUGGAGAUCCCUGCUCUGCUUCCAGGCAGCCUGGUGCUUUGUGCUGGAGGAACACGGAGUGAUGCUGUGCUGAGCAAAUACUACAACCUAUUCUGUAAGAGGCAGCAAGUACAGCAGCGAGUGCAGCGAGCCCUCAGCAACCAUGCUGAGCCCUCAGGCAGCAAUGCAUGGGAUGUCUGCUGGAGGAACACGAGAGAAAGGUACCUUCAGGUUGGUCUGAGGGGCUGCAAUCCUGUGCUGGUGGGAAUGAGACACCUGGACUGUGAUUUCAACAUUAACCUUAACGUUGAAUUAAGGCUAAAUUAAUUAAACUAGGCCCACUAGGUUAGUAGUAUUAAUUAAUUAUUAACAUAGGCCUGCUUUUGUGAAGCACGCUCCUCAUGAAUGCUGCUGCUUUGUGAGCUGUGCUGGCGUGGUGCACAGAGGGUUUGCCUGUAGCACAUCUGUGGAAGAGCUACAGCACUGUCCACACCAGAACCUCCUGACUGGAACAGAAAAUCCCAGAGUUGAGGGAACAGUAAAUGGCAUUCACUGGCAUUCCAGCUGUGGUGUGUUCACAGCAAUCCAGACCAGGAGGCACCCACCUGAUGGCCUCUCCCAGCUCCGGUGCUCUUUCUGACUCCCUGUCCUUCCCCAACACCCGGGCACACAGCCACCACGUCACUGCCCGGACGGCUGGGCCCAAACGUGCUGCUCUCUGUAAACAGGCUAAAAAUAUCCCCGCGCUGUUCCUGCGAGGGCCCUCAGGCUGGGAAGGAGGCCGGGAUCAGGCGGCCUCUGGGGAUGCUCCCUGCGGGCUCUGAGGGAAGGGGGGGUGGGAAGCAUCCAGACAGUGCUGUGUGAGGAACCCGGGGUAUGUCACAGGAGGGCUGUAGCAGCUGGUGGGAAGGAACUGUUCCUCAAGUACACUGAGGAUCAGGAGGUGAUGUGUGGAGGACGGCCCGGUGUCCCUCCAAGGCCGGGGCAGGGCCCUGCUCGGGCCGAGCAGAACAGGAGACAAAUUCCUCCAGCUGUGUUUCUCGUCUGAGGGCAAUAAUUUGGUCCUCCUGCUCUUCUGUUUGCGCCGCUGGACAGACUAGUGGAAGGCAAUUAGGAAGAUAAAUGUUUUUCCACCUCCCUGCAGUGCAUUUGUGAUUUAAAGAAAGGCUCAGCAGAGGUUACCACAGGCGGUUACAACAGUUUCUGAUUGCUGGGCUGAUUUCUGGACUGCACCAUUGCUCAGCUCAGUUAUUCAGCCCUACAAGAUGACAGGAAAGAAAGGGUCGUUUUAUAACGACAUAGAAAGCUAUCAGCAAAGCUCCAUUCAGGGGAUAUUUUUGUCAGUCCUACGUUUACUUCCUUUGAAGCACCUUAACCAGCUGUGCUCAAGUUGGCAUGGCCAGGAAGGACCGAGGACCACAUCUACAUCACAGGGCUGUGGGCCAGCGGCCUGCAAC
rnacentral:lncRNA from 1 species